UAUUAAAUGGGUAUGUCCCAUUUAACCACACAGACAUUCAACCUCUAUCGUCUGUCUGACAACCAACACCCCACUGACCACACAGACAUUCCAUCCUCUAUCUAUCGCUGCCUGACAAACCAACACCCACUGACCACACAGACAUCAAUCCUCUAUCUAUCGUCUCCUGACAAAACCACACCCACUGACCACACAGACAUUCAAUCCUCUAUCGUCUGUCUGACAAACCAACACCCCACUGACCACACAGACAUUCAACCCUCUAUCGUCUGUCUGACAAACCAACACUAUCUAUGUCUGUCUGACAAACCAACACCUCACUGACC
rnacentral:lncRNA from 1 species